rnacentral:rRNA from 1 species
GACGAACGCUGGCGGCGUGCUUAACACAUGCAAGUCGAACGGAAAGGGCCUGCUUGUGUGGGGUGCUCGAGUGGCGAACGGGUGAGUAACACGUGAGUAACCUGCCCUUGACUUGGGGAUAACUUCAGGAAACUGGGGCUAAUACCGGAUAGGAGCUCCUGCUGCAGGGUGGGGGUUGGAAAGCUUCGGCGGUUGGGGAUGGACGCGCGGCUUAUCAGCUUGUUGGUGGGGUAGUGGCUUACCAAGGCUUUGACGGGUAGCCGGCCUGAGAGGGUGACCGGCCACAUUGGGACUGAGAUACGGCCCAGACUCCUACGGGAGGCAGCAGUGGGGAGUAUUGCACAGUGGGCGGAAGCCUGAUGCGGCAACGCCGCGUGCGGGAUGACGGCCUUCGGGUUGUAAACCGCUUUCGCCUGUGACGAAGCGUGAGUGACGGUAAUGGGUAAAGAAGCACCGGCUAACUACGUG